CUUCAGUAAACCGUCCCUGUUUUACCCUCCCAUCAGCUUCCCCUUUGUUUCUCUUCUGUUCCUUCUAGCCUCUGCCGAUUUGCUCCCUCCAUUUCUUUUCUUUUCUUCCCUCUGUUUAUUUUCUUUUCUUUUUCUGUCGAUUUGCUCCCUCCGUUUCUUUUCUUUUCUUUUCUGCCGAUUUGCUCCCUUUGUUUCUUUUCUUUUCUUUUCUGCUGAUUUGCCAGUUUCUGCUGAUUUUUGAGUUACUGCAACUGAAAGGUAGGUUUCUAACUCUCUGUCAACCUUGUUACUAUCUUUUGUUUUUUUCUGCAUGUAAGCAGAUUCGAAUCACUGCCUUGUUAGUGCCAUUUUCUCAUUAAUCGGUAACUGCAUGUAAUCGGUUUCCCCUUUUCUCAUUACAGGUUCUUCUUCAUCUCACUGUGCCCCGAUUUGCUCAUUUACA
rnacentral:lncRNA from 1 species